GCGCGGUUUUACCUUGUUCUCCGCCCCGUGAGCCUGUGGUAGCGUCGGGAGUGUCCGUCUGCUUGUCUGCGAGGGGCUGCGGAGGCCUGGAGCAGGGGGACGCAGUUGUACGGCCGGUCCGUGUCCCUGUGAGGCUGUGAAGGAGCGCUGGGUACCAGGGUCGCAGCACACAUGAUCAAGGUCACAAAACUGUCCAAUGGCAGAACAAGGCCAAGUCUUUGGACUCCCAUGCCGUAUAGACCAGCAGCACAGGCAUCACCUGGAAGCUUCUGAGAAGUGCAGACUGUCAGGCCCUAACCUAUAACCACUGAACCAGAUUCUAUCUAACAAGAUCCUCAGGAGCUCAAAUGGCCAUGAGCAUGUUCCCCAAGGAUGCCAGUGUGUCUCCUAUGUUUCAGGACCUGAUGACAUUUGAAGAUGUGUGUGUGGAAUUCACCCCGUGGGAGUGGGGGCAGCUGGACCCUUCUCUGAAGGACCUGUAGAGGGAGG